rnacentral:tRNA from 1 species
GAGGGUAUAGCUCAGUGGCAGAGCACAUGCUUAGCAUGCAUGAGGUCCAGGGUUCAAGCCCCAGUACUGCCA